ACCAAUUGUUUAGGCUUGUAACACAGUACGUUUCCUCGCGUGCGAUCGGUAUCGUUCAAGUCUGAGAACUGAGGCGGUCUCGACUGAUACACCAAUUAUACACAUAUGCUAUUCAUCUUCAAUACCAAAACAGCUUUUCAACAUAUGAAAACGAACGAUGAAGCGGAUAAUGGAUUUGAUACACGACAGGUUUAAAUUCCGUCCAUUGCAGACGUAUUUCCCUCACUGACACUUCGGACUUCCUUGCGAGCGGUGAAAAGGAU